UACAGAGGGGGCAAGCGUUGUUCGGAAUUACUGGGCGUAAAGGGCGCGUAGGCGGCGCGGUAAGUCACUUGUGAAAUCUCUGAGCUUAACUCAGAACGGCCAAGUGAUACUGCAGUGCUAGAGUGCAGAAGGGGCAAUCGGAAUUCUCGGUGUAGCGGUGAAAUGCGUAGAUAUCAAGAGGAACACCUGAGGUGAAGACGGGUUGCUGGGCUGACACUGACGCUGAGGCGCGAAAGCCAGGGGAGCAAACGGG
rnacentral:rRNA from 1 species